GUCAAACCGUAAGGCAUACUCUGCAAUCAAUUUUUUUGAUCCAAAGAAUAACAGGUCUGCUCCCGAUCUCAUAAAGCUAGAUGACCCAUCCACAUGCACCACCCAGAAUCCAUCUGAUUCUUUGGAAGAGCCUUGCUCAAUAGGUUCGAUCUCUUCUUGGACUGGUUUGGGCUUUUCUUGAUCCUCUGGGAUGGUGCACUCUACGACAGUGUCUACCAAGAUCUGGACUUUAAUGAAGGGCC
rnacentral:lncRNA from 1 species